GGGAGCAUCCUAAGUAAGUGGCGCACGGGUGAGUAACACGUGGAUCAUCUACCUUCUAGUGGGGAAUACCUCUGGGAAACCGGAGACAAUACCGCAUAAGCCUGUAAAGGGAAAGCAGCAAUGCGCUGGAAGAGGAGUCCGCGGCUGAUUAGCUAGAUGGCGGGGUAACGGCCCACCAUGGCGACGAUCGGUAGCCGGCCUGAGAGGGCACACGGCCACACUGGCACUGAAACACGGGCCAGACUCCUACGGGAGGCAGCAGUGGGGAAUCUUGCACAAUGGGCGAAAGCCUGAUGCAGCGACGCCGCGUGAGCGAUGAAGCCCUUCGGGGUGUAAAGCUCUUUCGACGGGGACGAUAAUGACGGUACCCGGAGAAGAAGCUGCGGCUAACUACGUGCCAGCAGCCGCGGUAAUACGUAGGCAGCGAGCGUUGUUCGGAAUUACUGGGCGUAAAGAGUGCGUAGGCGGUGUUCCAAGUCUGUUGUGAAAUC
rnacentral:rRNA from 1 species